rnacentral:rRNA from 1 species
CUAGGAAUCUGCCUAGUGGUGGGGGAUAACGUUCCGAAAGGAACGCUAAUACCGCAUACGUCCUACGGGAGAAAGCGGGGGAUCUUCGGACCUCGCGCCAUUAGAUGAGCCUAGGUCGGAUUAGCUAGUAGGUGAGGUAAUGGCUCACCUAGGCGACGAUCCGUAACUGGUCUGAGAGGAUGAUCAGUCACACUGGAACUGAGACACGGUCCAGACUCCUACGGGAGGCAGCAGUGGGGAAUAUUGGACAAUGGGCGAAAGCCUGAUCCAGCCAUGCCGCGUGUGUGAAGAAGGUCUUCGGAUUGUWAAGCACUUUAAGUUGGGAGGAAGGGUAUUCACCUAAUACGUGAGUAUUUUGACGUUACCGACAGAAUAAGCACCGGCUAACUUCGUGCCAGCAGCCGCGGUAAUACGAAGGGUGCAAGCGUUAAUCGGAAUUACUGGGCGUAAAGCGCGCGUAGGUGGUUCGUUA